GGGGACGCCACUGGCUGUGGAACCGUGUCUACGGAACUUGGUUUGCGAGUUCGAUUCUCGUCGUCUCCA
rnacentral:tRNA from 1 species